UACGUAGGAUGCAAGCGUUAGUCCGGAAUUACUGGGCGUAAAGGGCGAGCAGGUGGCAUUACAAGUCUAUGUGAAAUCUCCCGGAUUCAACUUGGGAGGGGCCUUGGGAAACUUGUAGAGCUGGAGUGCAGGAGAGGCUAACGGGAAUUCCCGGUGUAGUGGGUGAAAUGACGUAGAUAUCGAGAGGGAACAACCUGCGGCGAAGGCGGGUUCGUGCUGGGCCACACUACGUGAUGCGGCGAAACCGGGGAGGCGAACGGG
rnacentral:rRNA from 1 species